CCCUUAGAUGUUCUGGGCCGCACGCGCGCUACACUGUUCGACGCAGCGAGUCUUAACCUUGACCGAAAGGUUUGGGUAAUCUUUUUAAAAUGCAUCGUGAUGGGGAUAGAUUAUUGCAAUUAUUAAUCUUCAACGAGGAAUUCCUAGUAAGCGCGAGUCAUCAGCUCGUGCUGAUUACGUCCCUGCCCUUUGUACACACCGCCCGUCGCUCCCACCGAUUGAGUGCUCAGGUGAAUAAUUCGGACUGCAGCAAUGUUUGGAUCCCGAACGUUGCAGCGGAAAGUUUAGUGAACCUUAUCACUUAGAGGAAGGAGAAGUCGUAACA
rnacentral:rRNA from 1 species